CACAGCUGCCAGAAUAUUUCCAGCUGCUAGAGGGAAAGGACAGACAUUUCAACUAACAGUUUCUGUUUGUCAUCACUUUGAGAAUUUGGAUGCUAAAUGCAUUGGAUUUGGGAGGAAUUUGGAUCUCGUU